UGGUACGCACCUGUUAUGUUUGCAGAGAAAAAGUUGACAAACUGAAUUGUUGUUUGGAACAGCGGAUGUUUGAGUAGAUUCGCCCUUAAAGAUGUUACGAAACUGAACAUAAUUUGUCUUUAAAGUAGUUCGCAGACACUUUUAUAGCGUCGCAGUCCUGGUAACUCGGUAAGUGCGCAUGCGUGGAAUUAUUGGACCUUCAGCACAUCCGGUCUGUAGACGCGCAACGCGGAAAAGCGGAAUGAGCCUCAAUAAACCCAGUUCAGUGCAGACUCUCACCUGCUUCACCUCUUCAUCACUGGUCUGAACGCAGUGAUCUUGUCAUCCUGCACGGUCCCGCAGGCUUCGCUGAGGUCAGACGACUGUGUCUCUGCUUUGCCACCAGAGAACCCUACACACCCAAAUAAAAGCAUAUCUACAUGUAAGAAACUCGCCUUAGGUGCAAGUUGACAGAAUCUGUCCCCUCACUUCCUAACCUUUAUUGUGCUUUCAUCCAGCAACACACAUUUGGACAUGCUCGUAAGAUCCCAAAGAAUUGCUGCAUACUUUACAGAAAACAUCCACUUCAGACAACUUACUCCCUUCUAAUGUGUUAUUGUAGAUUUUAGAUAACAUACCUUCAAUAGUGGAGUACUGGCAUGUGUCUGGGAGUGCAGAAUAGGAUGAACAGUGCAGUUGGAGGUCCUUAUGACUGUAGCUGCCGGUGCCAUAGACUUUAGAGUGCAAGGAUAAGCCCUCAGCGAAGGGGCUCUCAGUAGUAGUGACACUGCCAGGUUCAUGGAGGCCUCUCAUUCCCCCACACUGUCCAGUUAGAGUCCUGGUAAGCCUGGGGCUCUGGAGCUGGCAGUCCCCGGUUGUGUUGCCUGUCCUCAGCUCCGAGCCGUGCUGCUGGGGGCUCAGAAUGACCCCCGAAGCCGCCGUACGAGCCAGAGACCAAAUCCGAGGCUUAUCCGACGCUUCGAAGUGAGACAGGGAAACCGUACCCCCAGUUGAGGAAGGUGCCUUGGACACAACAGGAUCCAGGAAGUCAGACGGAAGAGGGGGGAGGGCGGUGACACCUUUGAUGGCGCAGGGGAACGCGUGGAAGCUGUUGGUUAAACUCAGGUGGAGCUCGGAGCUGCAGUCUCUCUUUUGAGGGGGUCCGGAUAGCGCCAUGACCCUCUGGAGGUCCUGUUCGUCUGCAGCCGCCUUUUCACAGUCGCUGUCCAGCUUUUCACAGUCAUCAUCGUCCAUGUCCUCCAGGUCGCUCAGACGCAGAUCCUUCUCGUCCUUGCAAUCACUAGAGUCUGCAUGGAGGAAAGGAGAUGUUUAGAAACACUGUUUGAAAAGUUUGGCUAAACUCUUAAAGACUUAGUUUGUUCAUAAAACCUUUCAAUAAACCUUUUUAUUCCUGGAA